rnacentral:rRNA from 1 species
GUGGGGAAUCUUCCGCAAUGGACGAAAGUCUGACGGAGCAACGCCGCGUGAGUGAAGAAGGUUUUCGGAUCGUAAAGCUCUUUCGUUAGGGACGAACGUGCUCUUUGUGAAUAAUGAGGAGUAAUGACGGUACCUAAAUAAGAAGCCACGGCUAACUACGUGCCAGCAGCCGCGGUAAUACGUAGGUGGCAAGCGUUGUCCGGAAUUAUUGGGCGUACAGCGCGCGCAGGCGGGAUAUCAAGUCUGUCUUAAAAGUGCGAGGCUCAACCUCGUGAGGGGACAGAAACUGGUAUUCUUGAGUGUCGGAGAGGAAAGUGGAAUUCCAAGUGUAGCGGUGAAAUGCGUAGAGAUUUGGAAGAACACCAGUGGCGAAGGCGACUUUCUGGACGAUGUCUGACGCUGAGGCGCGAAAGCUAGGGGAGCGAACGGGAUUAGAAACCCCGGUAGUCC